CUCUGUUUCUGUUUUGGCCUCAAUCCCAACAAUUUAUGUUCAUAGAUGGAUGCGAAGUUGGGGUACUUGCCAGAGGAUGGCCCUCCCUCUCUCCCUCCAGGAGAUCCCUUUCAUCAGCGUUGAUAGCAUUCGGAUCCAAUGGAGUAAAAUCAAUCAUGCCCGGGCCAUGAUAAUAGAUUUGUCUCCGUUGACUUCUUUUUGUUCCUCAGAUUGUUUGCAGUUGAUAUCUCCUGCUUGUUCCAAGGACACAUUGAGAAUGUAGUUCUUCUUAAGCAGCAAUAUGGAUGGAACAAAACCGAAAAUGAGGUCAUCAUCGUCAUAGAAGCUUAUAGAACUCUGAGGGAUUGGAGGCCUUACCCUGCUGAUCAAGUUGUGAGAGACAUCACCAGGAAGUUUGUUUUUGUGCUCUUCGACAGCUCUUCUAAAACCGCUUUUCAGGCCUCAUAUAUUGAUGAAGUGUUGCCUUCUUCUGGGGAAGUGAUUCUGGAGGCAAUCUUGUUCUCUCAGAUGGUGCAGAAGUCGUGAAGAUAGGCUGUGGAAAAUCUUUCGCACCAUUCCCUAAAGCUCCGGAGUUUUGAGGAGUUAUGAGCACCCACCGAAUGAGGUGAAGCUGGUUCCUAGGGUGGACAGCUCUGGCCAUGUGUGCGGCGCCACAUUCAAAGUGGAUGCAGAGACUAAGGACUCCAGCAUGCCUAGAGUUGGGAGUGCUGUGAACUGGUCCUCAUUCUACUGAGUCGUAUGGUUUAUGGUCCUUUUUUGGACAGGCCUUUAGCUAUUGGAGGGCCUUCUGUUGCCAAUAACCCAGUCAUGCUUUCUCAUACAUUGCAAAUUUUUCAGCUCUAAUGGUUGUUUACUCCAUGUCGAGAGUUUGAGAUGACAUUGUAUUAUGCAGCUGUAUAUGUUGCUUAUAAAACCAAGCCUUUACA